GAAAGAUGGCUUUGGCUAUCACUCUGGGAUGGACCUGCGGUGCAUUAGCUAGUUGGUAAGGUAACGGCUUACCAAGGCGAUGAUGCAUAGCCGAGUUGAGAGACUGAUCGGCCACAAUGGAACUGAGACACGGUCCAUACUCCUACGGGAGGCAGCAGUAGGGAAUCUUCCACAAUGGGCGCAAGCCUGAUGGAGCAACACCGCGUGAGUGAAGAAGGGUUUCGGCUCGUAAAGCUCUGUUGUUGGAGAAGAACGUGCGUGAGAGUAACUGUUCACGCAGUGACGGUAUCCAACCAGAAAGUCACGGCUAACUACGUGCCAGCAGCCGCGGUAAUACGUAGGUGGCAAGCGUUAUCCGGAUUUAUUGGGCGUAAAGCGAGCGCAGGCGGUUGCUUAGGUCUGAUGUGAAAGCCUUCGGCUUAACCGAAGAAGUGCAUCGGAAACCGGGCGACUUGAGUGCAGAAGAGGACAGUGGAACUCCAUGUGUAGCGGUGGAAUGCGUAGAUAUAUGGAAGAACACCAGUGGCGAAGGCGGCUGUCUGGUCUGCAACUGACGCUGAGGCUCGAAAGCAUGGAUAGCGAACAGGAUUAGAUACCCUGGUAGUCCAUGCCGUAAACGAUGAGUGCUAGGUGUUGGAGGGUUUCCGCCCUUCA
rnacentral:rRNA from 1 species